UGUUUAAUAAUUUAAAUAAAAAUUUUAAUUUGCAAAAUUAAAUUUAUCUUUAUAAGAUUUAAACAU
rnacentral:tRNA from 1 species